rnacentral:rRNA from 1 species
GAUGAACGCUGGCGGCGUGCCUAAUACAUGCAAGUCGAGCGAACAUCAGAGAAGCUUGCUUCUCUGAUGUUAGCGGCGGACGGGUGAGUAACACGUGGGUAACCUACCUAUAAGACUGGGAUAACUCCGGGAAACCGGGGCUAAUACCGGAUAAUAUUUUGGACCGCAUGGUUCGAUAGUGAAAGACGGUUUCGGCUGUCACUUAUAGAUGGACCCGCGCCGUAUUAGCUAGUUGGUAAGGUAACGGCUUACCAAGGCGACGAUACGUAGCCGACCUGAGAGGGUGAUCGGCCACACUGGAACUGAGACACGGUCCAGACUCCUACGGGAGGCAGCAGUAGGGAAUCUUCCGCAAUGGGCGAAAGCCUGACGGAGCAACGCCGCGUGAGUGAUGAAGGUCUUCGGAUCGUAAAACUCUGUUGUUAGGGAAGAACAAAUUUGUUAGUAACUGAACAAGUCUUGACGGUACCUAACCAGAAAGCCACGGCUAACUACGUGCCAGCCGCCGCAGUAC